UCUAGUACCUUCGGUGCUCGAGUUGUAAUUUGUAGAGGGAUACUUUGGGGCCGUUCCUUAUCUAUGUUCCUUGGAACAGGACGUCAUAGAGGGUGAGAAUCCCGUAUGAUGAGGAGUGCGGUUCUAUGUAAAGUGCUCUCGAAGAGUCGAGUUGUUUGGGAAUGCAGCUCUAAGUGGGUGGUAAAUUCCAUCUAAAGCUAAAUAUUGGCGAGAGACCGAUAGCGAACAAGUACAGUGAUGGAAAGAUGAAAAGAACUUUGAAAAGAGAGUGAAAAAGUACGUGAAAUUGUUGAAAGGGAAGGGCAUUUGAUCAGACAUGGUGUUUUGUGCCCUCCGCUCCUUGUGGGUGGGGGAAUCUCGCAGCUCACUGGGCCAGCAUCAUUUUUGGCGGCAGGAUAAAUCCUUUGGAAUGUAGCUUGCUUCGGGAAGUGUUAUAGCCAAGGGGAAUACUGCCAGCCGGGAUUGAGGACU
rnacentral:rRNA from 1 species